rnacentral:lncRNA from 1 species
AAGUAAUUGUGCUUCUUUUUCUCAAAUAUAUAAUCAUGUCUUGAAAUAGAAUAGAUUAUUUUUAAACUAAAACUUAGAAAUAUUAUGAGACUAAAAAGAAUUUUUCUUAAUAUUAUAAACAAGAGGAUCAAAAGACAUACUCAAUUAAAUUUACUUAAGAAAGUUUGAAUCAAUAAUUAAUGUUGAUUACAUUAUUCAAAGAUGAAAAUAUUUUUGCUUUGAAAGAAGCAUUCUUUGUUAGUCAAAAGCUGUAUCUUUUACUUUUGAUAUAAGAUAAGAAUGUUUGACAAACCUUAUUGCUUUCUUUGUCAAUAAGUAAUCUUAAAAUCAAAUCUUGAUAAAAACAUGCUCUAAUAAGCUUGACAAUGAUUCAAAAUAUGUAUUGACAUAAAAUAUUUAAGGCUCUUAUAAUCAAUAUAUAUGAUGAUUAGAUUAAAAG